rnacentral:rRNA from 1 species
GAUGAACGCUAGCGACAGGCUUAACACAUGCAAGUCGAGGGGCAGCGAGGAGAUAGCAAUAUUUCUGUCGGCGACCGGCGCACGGGUGAGUAACGCGUAUGCAACCUACCUAUCAGCGGGGGAUAGCCCGGCGAAAGUCGGAUUAAUACCGCAUAAUAUAUUAGAGCUUCAUGGCUUUAAUAUUAAAGAUUUAUCACUGAUAGAUGGGCAUGCGUUCCAUUAGGUAGUUGGUAGGGUAACGGCCUACCAAGCCAUCGAUGGAUAGGGGUUCUGAGAGGAAGGUCCCCCACACUGGUACUGAGACACGGACCAGACUCCUACGGGAGGCAGCAGUAAGGAAUAUUGGUCAAUGGACGAGAGUCUGAACCAGCCAAGUCGCGUGAAGGACGACGGCCCUAUGGGUUGUAAACUUCUUUUAUUGGGGAAUAAAAAGGGUCACGAGUGACCCCUUGCAUGUACCCAUAUGAAUAAGCAUCGGCUAACUCCGUGCCAGCAGCCGCGGUAAUAC